AAGCCGUAUUUCAGUCCGGUCUACAUCCAAUCAGGAAGCACAGGUGCCAUAAAAGUACGAAGGCUACCAUCUUGUGGAGGGUGGAAAAGUUAGCGAAUAUCUGUUUAGUCUUGGUUAAAACAGCCCCCACCUCCCCUGCAUCCUUGUGUUUCACCGAAGUCGGAACAAGGACUUCACAACUCUGGAAAUGGGAACUGCAGAGGAGCAAGCGAAUGCACAAUUAGACGCGGGUGGACACAGCUCUGUGCCAGAGGACCUACUCCACUUCUGAGGCAUGUACCACGGUCUAAUUUAGGGCAGUGGCAGAACUACAGCAGAAAACCAACAAGGAGACUUCAGACUACCAUAUCAGGUCGGGCUGUCCGAGGAUCGGCCUGUGGGACGGAGGGCAGGGGCGCGUGGGCGGACAUGCUGGGUGCUGGCAGCGCACUCCGUCUGCUAAGAUGAAGAGCCCUCGGUGCAUUUCUGUGGGAUGAUUUUCAGUGAGUAUCGGUCAGAGAUCUGCCGUGUACUUCUACUGUGGAUUAAUGGACGAGCUGCUUGAAGGCUACUCUCUCUGAAACAGGGAUCUCAGUUUCUCCGAGUAACCUACACAGGUUGAAGAAUAUUAUUUUUCUCAAACAAAACAUCCCAAGUUGAGACCAGGCAGUUUCCACCCUCUUCUCCACGUGUUCUCCAUUUUGAACUGGGAAAGGGAAGUUGAAUACGCUCAUUCCUCUGACAUCUUAAUAAUAAUAUUUAUGAAUAUUUAAUCAGCCUGUGUGUGGCUGAAUUGUGUUGUUGUGAUGGUACAAAUAAUGUGUUGCUUUCUCGGUUUGUAUCUCCAAAAUGUCAACUUUUCAUGAGCGGAGUUAAACAAUUUUAAACAGAUUUUAAUCUUUUAGUCAAAGCUUCCUGUUCAAUUCACAAGGGUUGAACAGCUUUUUGCCUUAAAUAUGGGAACUUGCAAUAAAAUCCAUGUCAGAUAUUUCCACAAGAGGUUAUCUGGUUUAAUCUGUUACUGGAUUUGGUCAAUACGUCUAAGAGAAAAAAGACUGCCUCCAUUGACAUAUGGGAGAAUAAGGUGAACUGUAGCCCUACAGGCUGUGUAUCCUUGGUGUUGACAAAGGAAGGAGCCUCUGUAGUUCCGUGCGCCAUCCAGAGAUGGAGAUUAGCAUGGAGCCAUCAGCAGCGCUGCAGUCCCUCCCUACCCUGCUUCUGCUGUCAGACCGCCUCCUCCCUGCUUGUCAGGAGCUCCGUCGAGGAGCUGUAAAAACCUUUUCCCCUCUCCUUAACAACUGCAAAACAACACGCACACACCCCGGCUGAGGUGCCGGCUUUUCUGAGGCCUCUGACAGGACGUGCUGCAGGCACAAAUUGUAAUUCAUAAAGGUUAAGGGGGUCAAUGCCUUUUAUUACCAGUCUGAGUGCAUCCAGCUUGAUGGGGCGGGCAUGCAAAUGGAAUGUCUCAGAUUGUUCUAUGCGAGAACUCAGACAGCGAGUGCGUGCGUGCGUGCCUCUGAAUGGGAGGAAGUAAAAGGUGGGUAAAGGGUGGUGGGGAGGUUGUCUGAGAUCGGCUGCUCUCUCCACCUUCCACAGCCAUGUAGGACCACACAGCCGCUGCCCGGUUAAUUAGACAGUAUGACAUUGACCCCAGGUAGUUAACGGCCACUUUGAUAUGUGCUGUCUUGCAAUUAAUAUAUUGUAAAGCUUCAUGUUUUAUCAUACGGUUAGCUCUGACCUAUAAGGAGCCAUUAAACUUGGGCCCCACAAUACAUUCUUACAUUUACAUUAAUAUCAACAGAAAUAGUCAUCAACAGUGUGAAAUUAAAGAUCUGUAAUAUGAUAAUUUCACUUUGAAAGCUCUCUCCCUCUCUGCACUUUAGUUAAAAACCAGAAAGAUGAAAAGGUUUUGUCCCCCAAUCCCCCAAAAUUGGAAAAAUAAUUAAAUCUAUGGGAUAUUUAUUUUGGUAUAUAGCAAGACUGAUUAAUAUAAAAUGAAUUUCAUGAUGUAAAGUCUGUUGCCUCUUUUUCUGUGCUGUUACCAUGACCCCGACAACUGCGGCUGUGAUCACAUUAGACCCUAUUGCACCCUCUGCUGGACCUUUAUAGGAACGACCUGGUUCUUCGUUGCUCUUCGUCACAUCCAAGUUCCUACAUGACACACAAUGGUGCACUGACAGUUUUUUGUCUUAAUGAUAAUAACUCGACGUGUUAAACUGUUUUACAAGAUUAAAGGUUUUCUAUGGCAUUUUAAUACAGACGUUUGAUUUGGUCAUUGCAAAUUUACACAUGAUAAUACAUGCAGUUCACCAGAGAAUAGAAUAGUGUUAAGUGUCUUAUUCCAGUCUCUUCUGUUUUAGAACAGAUAAUAAGUGGAUUAAGAUAGUCUAGAAUAAAAUAUAACAGACUAGAUUGGAAUCAGAAGAAUACAAAACAGAUUACUGUGAAAUAAUAUUAGAUAAACUUUAUUGAUCCCACACCAGGGAAAUGUACUGCAGCAAUAAAAGUCAAAAAGAGGUAGACAAAAGAACAUCCAAUGAAUGGAUUCAAAUAAAAUGGAAUAAUAUGAUCAAAUAAAGCAGGAUACAAUAGGAUAGGACAGAAAAUACAUAAGAUCCUUCAUUUUCUCUUUCAGCAUUUUUGCUGCACAUGUGAUCUACUGACUGAUUCUACUCAGUGCUCAUGAGGUCAGGAAUCUGUGGCUCCAUGUUCACUGUAAAACUGAAAAGAUCAUACCUGAGGAACCACAGGGACAUUCCUCCCUUAAAGCCGGCAAAAGGCAGACUCCCCUGUGCUCAUUACCUUUCCAUCACAGACCAGCUGCUGUGGAGUCAUUCAUCACGAUUACAAAUCUGUGCCGGUGUUGGUAGCCUACAGCUCCACCAUCAGCCUGUGAGAUGCACAGACAGGCCCCCGAGCCAUCGGUCCCCCUGGGCACAGUGUUAGAUUCACAACACAACAGGUGAUGGCAGUGGACAGCGUCAGGCAGCUUUUGUUUUCAGAGAAAAACUAGCACUGAAAUACUCGUUGAAUAAUUCCUUUACUGUACCUGCAACCAUGGGAUGUAGACAAUCUGUUGUUCUCUCUCUCUCUCCCUCCCUGUGUG